rnacentral:rRNA from 1 species
AAUAUUGGACAAUGGGCGAAAGCCUGAUCCAGCCAUGCCGCGUGUGUGAAGAAGGUCUUCGGAUUGUAAAGCACUUUAAGUUGGGAGGAAGGGGUUGAAGCUAAUACCUUCAAUCUUUGACGUUACCAACAGAAUAAGCACCGGCUAACUCUGUGCCAGCAGCCGCGGUAAUACAGAGGGUGCAAGCGUUAAUCGGAAUUACUGGGCGUAAAGCGCGCGUAGGUGGUUCAGUAAGAUGGAAGUGAAAUCCCCGGGCUUAACCUGGGAACUGCUUUCAUAACUGCUGAGCUAGAGUACGGUAGAGGGUAGUGGAAUUUCCUGUGUAGCGGUGAAAUGCGUAGAUAUAGGAAGGAACACCAGUGGCGAAGGCGACUUGCUGGACUGUAACUGACGUUGAGGUGCGAAAGCUAGGGGAGCAAACGGG